UGGCUCCCCCCAGGCAUGCUGGGUAGUGAAUGAGAAGCUGCUGACUUCCCAGGAUGUGGGCCCCUCCCCCUGCCUAGUGGCGGUUGCUUCCGUUGGGGUUUCCAGGGCAGCCGUGUUCUGACAGUUGGCUGGGGCCACACCCACUCCUCCCAUAGACUUCUGGGUGCUGAGCACUCCAGGAAGGGCUUCUGCAUGUCCCAGCCCAGGUCUCCUAUUCAGACCAAUGUGUUUUGCCACCACUGAGUCCAGGGAACUACUUUUGUGCCUUCCUGGGAUGCUGGUUGCUUGUGGCACCCUGGGCAUUGGGCAAGGAGGGGCAUGAGCAGCACCUUGGCUGGGACUCCAGGGUCCUGUGCAAGCUCUUGCCUUUGCCCAGAAAUCACCCUCACUCCAGAUGUCUGGCGUCCCAUCCUUAAAGAGUUCUUCUCUGCAGGAAGGAGUAGCCCCUAUGAAGCUACCAGUUCUUUGUGGGAAAGACCCACAUCAAGUGGCCUGCCCUCUCUUAUUCCUUAAUGGGAGUUGUCAGGGCCCUUGAGACAAGUGGCCUCAGGCUGAGUGGGAGGGGGAAAGAGUCCUAGAAGAGGAACAAGUCUGGUGCACCCCAGCAGCCUGGAAGGGCGGGGCAAGGAAACACCCCCAAUUUCCCAAGUGUCAACUACAAGCAGCCUCCUGCUCAGGCUGGAGAUGUGCUUGCCUCCAAGUUUAGGUUUAGAGACUGGGCCACAGGGCUGUAGCUUCGGGUGGGCUCCUAAGACUGAGGGAACAUCCGAUUCUCCUGUGUGCCCUCCUGCAGACCCUCCUGGCAACAUUUCCCAGAAGCCAUAACAUGUCCCUGCGGUGCAGGCAUUUCAAGUCCAGAUCAGGACUGAUCAGGCAGUGCCUGGGGAGGAAGAGAUUGAACUCCAAGUCAAGGAAGGAGCCACAGGACUCCCAAGAGAGGUCCCACCUGGCUCUGCAAGUACAUUGUUCAGCAACUGAGAGGACAAAGGAGAGAGUCUUGCUUCACCCACACUGCUGAUUGAGGUUCCAGAGUCUUCCAACAGCUCCCUACCCCAAAACUUUUCCAUGGACCAUAACCAAGGGGGCUCAUAGCACCUGUCUCUUGUCUGUUUUCUCUUGCCCCUUGGUCCUCAACUGGAAAUGGUAAUUAGUUGGCUCCACAUCAGACAAUAUCUGGUCCCUGAGAUAUGGUCUUGAGAUGUUGUACUUCAUAUCCCCACCCUACCUUCCACACGAAUUAUGGGCCAAUUCCCAGAGAGAUCCUGCUCACCAGCUUCUUGGUACAAAACACUAGUCCUGGGAUGCUACAUUCAUGAUAUGUACUCAAGGCCAACCCCCAUAGUUACUUGUCUCUCAAUCCUAUUGUCUCCAUUGCUCUCUUAGUUUGUGCUUCUGGAGGGCAGGGCACUGUUUCUCAUGCAUUUCUGCAUCCCUGAUGCUUAGCUCAGAACUAAGCACACAUACUCAGUGCAAGGUUUUUAGAAUAAAAUAAUUCCAAAAUGAUGUAAACAA